UACAGUUUGAGGAGUGUUAGUUCUCUUCAUACAAUCAUUUUUUAAGUUUAAUCUUUUUCUGAAUAUUUGUGAAUGUUUGUGCCUAUUUUAUAAUAGGUACGAGGUUAAGUACUUGUGGCCUUACUGCUUUCUCCUUCAGCCAUAGAGCACAAAGAGAAGUUGAUGUGUUUCAUCUGUAUGUAAGAUAAUCAGGUGGUUAAUCAGAUUCUUAAGACGCUGACAAUACUAGUGCAAUAGGGGAUUUUAGGGGAAAUGGGUGAUAAAUAGCAGCUGGAAUGGAGAUCUGGACUCUAAAUACCAUGUUAUGUGUUUUGAGUGCACCAUCAACCACAGUUGCUUCCAAUUUGUCUGUUUGCCCUCUAAUUAACAAACACCUGUGUUUGGGGUAUUUAAGAACUCAGUCUUCCCAAAACAAAGGUCUAAUUCCUAGUACAAACAAUCAAGAAAAGCAUCCUGGAGGCUUUAAGAAGGAGCUUUAUCUGAUGGUUCAGGGCUGUGUGUACUCCCAGGACUUGGAGGCAGAGCAGGAAGGCGGGAGGCAUAAAGCAUUUAAGGUGAAAGGACCAAAUUCCUUUUACUUCACACCUACACUGAAGACAGAGAUGUCAUUCUGCGUUUUACACCAUUGUGAGGAGAGGCAGCAUUUGGAUGCAAGACAGAGAAACCUGCCGCUAUCCAUCUGAAGCAGUCUGACAAAACUGCAAAAGCAUUUAGGUGUCUGGAAAACAGACUGUCUGGUUUGUGUUUACGUUGUAAAAAGCCCAAAAUGAGAAAUAGCAGAUGAAAGAAAAAUCUACUCUUGGUGACCUCUUCAUGUUUUCCUGCUUAUUAAGAACCCUGCUUUUAGCUCCAGGAGAAGAGAAGGCAGCAUUUCUACAUCUGCACGCUUCAGCUCCACCGUAGAGCAGAAUGAAUGUGGAAACAAAUUAUAACAUUUCUUAGGAAAUGGAGAAAUAGGGAGUUAAAAAUAUGAUGCUUAUGUCAGAUGCCGGGAGAGGUAUAGCGUAUGUAGACGGAGCACCAGUGGUUUCUGCUAAAUCAUUUAAAGGAGUCUACAGGAAUGGGAGGUUGCAUGGGAGUAUAAAAUAUUCUUCAUCCUUUUACUGCCUGGGUGCUGGCUUGAAUUAUGCUAUGGACGACAUUUUCUCUUAAACAAGGAACUGAUAAUUACUGUGCAAUCCUGGCAGGGGAGAGAGAGAGCCUUCUGUAUUCUGUGCCCCCCUUUCCAUGAGCCACGCUUACACCCGCAUGUCACAGCUGCCUGCUGGGUUUCAAAUUUUGCAGCUGUUGGGCCUUGGAAAACAUGUUUUCAUCAAGCAAAAAUGUAUGGGCUUCUACGUAAAUGAGCUGCAGCUUAGAGAUAUUCAGCAGUGCUAAGGAAUUACAGCCCAACUGUUUCCAGCCCUGGGUGUGGAGGGUGAAGGGUCUGGGCUGGAUGCUGGCUCUGCCAGGUGGGACAGAUCCAUGUGCCUUGCUCAGAAGCGAAUCCCAAGUGAGGAGGACAAGAGGGCUCCUUUUCAAGCCUGGAAGUACCAUAGAGAAAUGAAGCUUCUGCCUCAUAAUGGCUGCAGCUCACCAAGCACUGUGCAGAAUCACUUAACCUCUCGCUCCUCCCCCACACUGACAGCAUCUCUGUUUACUGUAGGGUGGGCUCCUCACUCACGUAAUUUCCAGACACAACGACAAAUCCUAUGAAUGUUAUUCAAGGAAUGACAGACUAAUCAGCUCUCUUACUUGGGCUAGACCCAUCUACAGCCAUGCAGUUGUCAUGCAACCGCUCGUAAGAUGCUGGUGCAUGUGAACCACUUGUAUUUACUUACAUCUCGCAGCCCUGUUAGGCUUGACUGUGUUGAAAUUUAGAAGUGAAAGUGGACAGUUAUCUAACAAGGUCCAGUUUAAGCUAAAUAGAUCAAAGACAAGGAGAAGAACUUCCAUAGUGCAGGAAGUAGAACUGUGAUCUUGAAAGCUGUCAUUUUGGGUACCUUCAAAAAGCAUACCUUACCUGAAAACAAGAGCAAUCGAAUCUCUGACUCCAGCGUCAGAGGGCCAGGGGUCAGCAGUUCAUUUCCUUUUAUUUACAUCAUCAAGGAUUAGCCACUGCUGGAUUGGAUUAAUGAAUGUGAACGAAUAUGACCAGGUUAUGAGCAUGUCAGAUUCCGAUCCUGUCUUUUUGCUUGUGCAGCACUGGGCUUUGAUGCGCUGAGAGCUCAGCAGGGACAUGGGCAGGGUCUGAAUCAUAGAAUCAUUAAGGUUGGAAAAGACUUCUGAACUCAUUGAGUCCAACUGUCAACCCAUCCCCCCACGCCCACUGACCAUGUCCCUCGGUGCCACAUCUUCCACGUUCCUUGGACACCUCCAGGGACAGGGACCCCAC